ACUGCACCAUCAUAACAUAGGAAUAUGCAUGCUUAUGUAGAUAUUCUAUCAUCAAUCUGUAUUUCUCUAAACCCUAAAUUCUCUUCAUCCAAAGAUCAAGAACAUAUUCCUAGUCUUUCUCAAAUGCUUAAUAAUAUAUUUCACAUCUACCUAGUGAUCUCAGUCUAGAUUUGACUAAUAUCUACUCGUGUCACUCACAAUAAG
rnacentral:lncRNA from 1 species